AUUGUUUUCUAACAUAUCUUCCAAUUGCUAGGAAGAAGUUGCUUAAGUGAUUCUUAAAGAAGGGUAAGGAGAGGAUGAAAUCUAUUAUCAUUAAUCCUUCUAGGAAAGAGUAUGGUUUGAUGGUGAAUUACUACACAAGGAGAGGUGAUAUGAACGGUGCACGUGAAAUCUUUGAAAAUAUGCGAGCUAGGGAAAUAGAACCAUGGUCUCAUGUCUACACAAAGUAAUAACUACUCCUAUUUUCUCCCUUUCUUUCGUCAUAUGUUAAUUUGAUCUCAACGUUAGCUUAAUAUUUUUGCUUCAUUUAUUGACAUAAAGGUCACCAUUCUAGUUUUGAAUAUGGUUAAAGUUUGAUUGAUUUGUAUAGAAGGCCAAUUAAGUAUUUUAUGCUUGAAAUAUAUAUUUUGAUGGUAGAUAUGUCGUUGCAAAAGUAUAUUUACUAUAUUAAUUCAAUCUAAAUAUUUUUCAA